UACGAAGGGGGCUAGCGUUGCUCGGAAUCACUGGGCGUAAAGCGCACGUAGGCGGAUUGUUAAGUCAGGGGUGAAAUCCUGGAGCUCAACUCCAGAACUGCCUUUGAUACUGGCGAUCUUGAGUCCGGGAGAGGUGAGUGGAACUGCGAGUGUAGAGGUGAAAUUCGUAGAUAUUCGGAAGAACACCAGUGGCGAAGGCGACUCACUGGCCCGAUACUGACGCUGAGGCGCGAAAGCGUGGGGAGCAAACAGG
rnacentral:rRNA from 1 species